AGAGUUUGAUCAUGGCUCAGACGAACGGCGGCGUGGAUUAGGCAUGCAAGUCGACGAAUCCCACCUGUGUAGCAAUACAUGGGUGGGGGAAGUGGCGAAAGGGGCAGUAAUGCAUGGGUAACCUACCUUGGGGAUGGGCAUAGCCGUUCUAACGAACGGGUAAUUCCCAGCGAUUCGGCGGGAAGGCAUCUUUCUGCCGGGAAAUGAGUUUCGCCUCGAGAGGGGCCCAUGUCGUAUUAGCUAGUUGGUGGGGUAACGGCCUACCAAGGCAAAGAUGCGUAGCGGGUGUGAGAGCACGACCCGCGCCACUGGCACUGAGACACUGGCCAGACACCUACGGGUGGCUGCAGUCGAGGAUCUUCGUCAAUGGGCGCAAGCCUGAACGAGCGACGCCGCGUGCGCGAAGAAGGCCUUCGGGUUGUAAAGCGCGAAAGUGGGGAUAAAGCCGCAAGGUUGAUAGAUCCACAGUAAGGACGGGCUAAGUUCGUGCCAGCAGCCGCGGUAAGACGAACUGUCCUAACGUUGUUCGGAAUCACUGGGCUUAAAGGGCGCGUAGGCGGUCGGCCAAGUCAGGGGUGAAAUCCUGCAGCUUAACUGUAGAAGGGCCUUUGAUACUGGUCGUCUGGAGGGAGGUAGGGGUGUGCGGAACUUCCAGUGGAGCGGUGAAAUGCGUUGAUAUUGGAAGGAACGCCGGAGGCGAAAGCGGCGCACUGGACCUCUUCUGACGCUGAGGCGCGAAAGCUAGGGGAGCAAACGGGAUUAGAUACCCCCGUAGUCC
rnacentral:rRNA from 1 species